rnacentral:tRNA from 1 species
UUGUUAGCUCAGUUGGUAGAGCAGUUGACUUUUAAUCAAUUGGUCGCAGGUUCGAAUCCUGCACAA